rfam:Myotis brandtii contig260185, whole genome shotgun sequence.
CAUGCACCAGUGGGGUCCCUCGGCCUGGCCUGCACCCUCUCACAAUCUGGGAUCCCUCAGGGGAUGUCAGAGAGCUGGUUUCAGCCCAAUCCUGCAGGCCAGGCUGAGGGACCCCACUGGUGCACG